UACGAAGGGGGCUAGCGUUGCUCGGAAUCACUGGGCGUAAAGCGCACGUAGGCGGAUUUUUAAGUCAGGGGUGAAAAUCCUGGAGCUCAACUCCAGAACUGCCUUUGAUACUGGGAAUCUCGAGUCCGGGAGAGGUGAGUGGAACUGCGAGUGUAGAGGUGAAAUUCGUAGAUAUUCGCAAGAACACCAGUGGCGAAGGCGGCUCACUGGCCCGGUACUGACGCUGAGGUGCGAAAGCGUGGGGAGCAAACAGG
rnacentral:rRNA from 1 species